CCCGAAAGAUGGUGAACUAUGCCUGAGCGGGGCGAAGCCAGAGGAAACUCUGGUGGAGGCUCGAAGCGAUACUGACGUGCAAAUCGUUCGUCUGACUUGGGUAUAGGGGCGAAAGACUAAUCGAACCUUCUAGUAGCUGGUUCCCUCCGAAGUUUCCCUCAGGAUAGCUGGAGCCCAUUACGAGUUCUAUCAGGUAAAGCCAAUGAUUAGAGGCAUUGGGGACGCAACGUCCUCGACCUAUUCUCAAACUUUAAAUAGGUAGGAUGGCUCGGC
rnacentral:ncRNA from 1 species